rnacentral:tRNA from 14 species
GCCCCCGUGGCGCAACGGAUAGCGCAUCCGGUUUCUACCCGGUCGGUUGCAGGUUCGAAUCCUGUCGGGGGUGCCA